UUCACUGAGACAAUCUUAACUGACUAUUUGACCUCAAAUCAGGUAGGACUACCCGCUGA
rnacentral:rRNA from 1 species